AUUGUUUUCUGUGGUGCUGAGGGCUACAUUUUCGUUUUAAUCAGCGCAAGCAGGCAUCCCUGUUCUCAUUAACAAAGCAUCCUAUUAGCACCAUUGUUCCCUAACUACCAUUGGACAUCACAGGGAGAAGUUCUGUUUCGAGAACAGUAGAGUAAAAAGACAGGAAGAAAACAAGUGCCUAACAUCAUGCAGCCCACGUACCAGCUCUGGAUGGCUUAUGUAUGAUGAAAUCUCCAAGAUGCCUUCCAGAAACCACAUGUCCCUGUCCUUUCUGGAACCACCGCCAUCCCUGUAACUCAUGGAUGGUACUCAGUCGCCUGAGACUCGUCUUGUAGAUAGAGCUUGAUGGACCACGGGGAGAGAGCGUCACUCCUGCUGCAGUCUGAAUGCACACACCUGGGGGCCAUCUGCCCAACCUUCCACCACUGAAGUUCAAACAGCCGCAUCUUAGACAACUCCUCCAUUUCUAAUCAACCCAGCAGAGACAGUGUUCGCAGCUGUCAGACACCAAUCAAUGGCUGAGAGAGAAAGAAAUAUAUUAAAAGAUCUGUUAGCAGUCACUUUGUGUCCAACAGAACUCCUGUUUGUCUUAUGUCUAAAAAGCUGGCCAUUGACUUUCAACAGGAUUUCACUGAUGCUAUUAGAAAAUAUUUUACCGCUAAAUGAAAAUAAAGAUAAACUGCCUUUCUGAAGAUGCAAAAGGUCUCGUCUUAAAUUGUAAUCUGCAUAAUCUCUACAUGUUGAGGAAAGGACCAAGUGGGAG